rnacentral:rRNA from 1 species
AGAGGUUGAUUCUGGCUCAGGAUGAACGCUGGCGGCGUGCCUAACACAUGCAAGUCGAACGGAGAAUUUUAUUUCGGUAGAAUUCUUAGUGGCGAACGGGUGAGUAACGCGUAGGCAACCUACCCUUUAGACGGGGACAACAUUCCGAAAGGAGUGCUAAUACCGGAUGUGAUCAUCGUGCCGCAUGGCAGGAUGAAGAAAGAUGGCCUCUACAAGUAAGCUAUCGCUAAAGGAUGGGCCUGCGUCUGAUUAGCUAGUUGGUAGUGUAACGGACUACCAAGGCGAUGAUCAGUAGCCGGUCUGAGAGGAUGAACGGCCACAUUGGGACUGAGACACGGCCCAAACUCCUACGGGAGGCAGCAGUGGGGAAUCUUCCGCAAUGGACGAAAGUCUGACGGAGCAACGCCGCGUGAGUGAUGAAGGAUUUCGGUCUGUAAAGCUCUGUUGUUUAUGACGAACGUGCAGUGUGUGAACAAUGCAUUGCAAUGACGGUAGUAAACGAGGAAGCCACGGCUAACUACGUGCCAGCAGCCGCGGUAAUACGUAGGUGGUGAGCGUUGUCCGGAAUUAUUGGGCGUAAAGAGCAUGUAGGCGGCUUAAUAAGUCGAGCGUGAAAAUGCGGGGCUCAACCCCGUAUGGCGCUGGAAACUGUUAGGCUUGAGUGCAGGAGAGGAAAGGGGAAUUCCCAGUGUAGCGGUGAAAUGCGUAGAUAUUGGGAGGAACACCAGUGGCGAAGGCGCCUUUCUGGACUGUGUCUGACGCUGAGAUGCGAAAGCCAGGGUAGCGAACAGGAUUAGAUACCCCGGUAGUCCUGGCCGUAAACGAUGGGUAAUAGGUGUAGGAGGUAUCGACCCCUUCUGUGCCGGAGUAACGCAAUA